UGGGGAAUAUUGGACAAUGGGCGCAAGCCUGAUCCAGCCAUGCCGCGUGAGUGAUGAAGGUCUUAGGAUUGUAAAGCUCUUUCACCGGUGAAGAUAAUGACGGUAACCGGAGAAGAAGCCCCGGCUAACUUCGUGCCAGCAGCCGCGGUAAUACGAAGGGGGCUAGCGUUGUUCGGAAUUACUGGGCGUAAAGCGCACGUAGGCGGAUAUUUAAGUCAGGGGUGAAAAUCCCAGAGCUCAAACUCUGGAACUGCUUUUGAUACUGGGUAUCUUGAGUAUGGAAGAGGUGAGUGGAAUUCCGAGUGUAGAGGUGAAAAUUCGUAGAUAUUCGGAGGAACACCAGUGGCGAAGGCGGCUCACUGGUCCAUUACUGACGCUGAGGUGCGAAAAGCGUGGGGAGCAAAACAGGAUUAGAUACCCUGGUAGUCCACGCCGUAAAACGAUGAAUGUUAGCCGUCGGGCAGUAUACUGUUCGGUGGCGCAGCUAACGCAUUAAAACAUUCCGCCUGGGGAGUACGGUCGCAAAGAUUAAAAAACUC
rnacentral:rRNA from 1 species